rnacentral:rRNA from 1 species
AUUGAACGCUGGCGGCAUGCCUAACACAUGCAAGUCGAACGGUAACGGCCCUUCGGGUGCCGACGAGUGGCGAACGGGUGGGUAAUACACCCGAACGUGCCCGAUCGUGGGGGGUAACGUGGCGAAAGCUUUGCUAAUACCGUAUACGAUCUGCGGUUGAACGCAGGGGUCCGCAAGGCCUUGCUUGGACGGUUGGGGCGAUGGCAGCCUAGGUAGUUGGUGGGAUAUAAGCUUUCCAAGGCGACGAUCUGUAGCUGGUCUGAGAGGAUGAUGAGCCACACUGGGACUGAGACACGGCCCAGACUCCUGCGGGAGGCAGCAGUCGGGAAUUUUACACAAUGGGCGCGAGCCUGAUCCAGCCAUGCCGCGUGCAGGAUGAAGGCCUUCGGGUUGGAAAGUGAUUUUGUACGGAACGAAAAGCCUUCUUUUAAUACGGGAGGGUCAUGACGGUACCGUAAGAAUAAGCACCGGCUAACUACGUG